rnacentral:other from 1 species
GUUACCCUACUGUGUGCGUGAGCGCCUUGAAGUUCAAAACCAACACUUGUACAUUGGGAGUCCGGACUCUGGUUAUGGCUUGUAGGCCUUGGAUUACAAGGUAACGAUAAGUAAUCAGGAGGACACCCACCUAUUUGGAACAGGUUCAAGAAACUUUGGGGUUCACGGCAUGUGUGGGGCUAAU